GUCGACGCUGCUCCAACCCGUGUAUGGAUACCAACACAAGCUUCUAAUACUUACAAUUUCAUCUUUGCUUCGAUUUUAGGUUGUUGAAAUGUUGUGGUUUGGGAAACUAUUCAAAUGGAGUGAGUGGCGGUAUUGUGCAUGGUGGCAGAGGGGGUACUGAACUGUAUCAUGGAAGGCUGAGUGAAGGUAGUACAACAUAUGCCAAACCAGCUCUUUCCCUCUUUAUCUAUUACUGGAGGCCAUGGUGUCCUUGUUGGUGGUGGUUCAUUUCCACUGGUCCAAAAUUGGCACAACAGAUGACUAUGUUCCUCUUGCAAUGAUAAAUACUACUAACAACACUUGGAGUGGUGAAGGGAAUGGAGAGGCUCUCCCUAGGGAGGAUGGUACAGCAACAAAAGGAUUUUAUGGUACAUUCGGCAAGAUAUAUUUGGAAUGUCCAGUUGGCAUUUUUAAAGAUGUGGAAGAAACUAAUGAUCAAAUUAUUAUUUGACACAUAUUCAUGUAAUGCCUUGAGGGAAUGAGACUGCUUCUGAGAUGUGCAAGAAACUAAUGAGCAUGUGAAGAUUGAUGGGACACAUGAAAGUGAAACUAAGGAUAUAGUGGGAAUGACUGAAGAAAUAGUUUUGGAUGUGCCAUCAGAAAUGACUUAUUUGCCCCUUACUCGUCAACCACUUGAUAAGGAUGAUGAUAAUACUAGCAUUAGAGUGACUGAACCUAUCAAAACGUUUUCUCCCAAGGUAAAGCAUGCAUCAGAAAAGAAACUUACAAGGGCAACACUACUUAAGCAAACAUUUAUCGGUUUCCAAAACACGCGUCUAAUGAAGCAUCCAAAGGUUCAAUGAAACCUAGAACAAGUGGAAAGAAAGGUUAAAGAUCUGAAAAAGAAUUCAAAGCUCAAUCUUCAUUAUUAAAGUAGUCUCUUCCCUACUGUUAACAGGCCAAAACAGACAAUUAGUUCAAGCAAAUCACUCGGAGUUGAUUGUAAUUUUUUUUACGACUAUGUGUGUGCUACAUGGUAUGUGAUGGAAACAGGGGUGUGAAAUUUUAAUGAGAAGUAGUCAGGCAUGUUAAAUUUGUGUUAAGUCAAGAGCUGCAAUUUUCAUGGUAUGAAGUGAAAAAAAGAUUUUAAUAUGUCAAAUUUAUGGAGGAAACAAAGGACUCAAAGGUAGUCUUUUACAAAUUCAAGUUAUUUUACUUUAUUUACAAACCAUUUCUCUUUUUGAGGAACACAAACUUCGUUUACAAUAACUGAAUGUAUUUUUAAUGUUAGGAACAAAACUUUUGGUACUUAGGUUUUCUACAUGAUUGUUGGAUAGUCGAAUAUUUUGCCAGUUUAAGAGAGUUUACACGAGAUGCUUCAGUCUCACGGAACUCAGCAAUGAGUAGCAGGCCACCAACAGGUCCAGCACUGCCAACUCCAAUAAUCAUUUUUGUUUUUAGAUAUUGUAGGUUUAUUUAAAUUUGAGAAUAGUUUUUGUUUUAUCUUUAUAAAUGAAUCAUAGUAUAUUUUACCAUUGACUACUUACUUAAAUGGGUUAAAUACAAAAAAUAGUAACAAAAACCAGUGACGACUUUUUAUGGUCA